ACGAACGCUGGCGGCGUGCUUAACACAUGCAAGUCGAACGGGGAUUACCGAGCGGAAGGUUCGGCCGGAAGGUUGGUAAUUCGAGUGGCGGACGGGUGAGUAACGCGUGAGCAACCUGUCCCAGACAGGGGGAUAACACUUGGAAACAGGUGCUAAUACCGCAUAAGACCACGGGGUCGCAUGGCUCUGGGGUAAAAGGAGCGAUCCGGUUUGGGGUGGGCUCGCGUCCGAUUAGAUAGUUGGUGAGGUAACGGCCCACCAAGUCGACGAUCGGUAGCCGACCUGAGAGGGUGAUCGGCCACAUUGGAACUGAGAGACGGUCCAAACUCCUACGGGAGGCAGCAGUGGGGAAUAUUGGGCAAUGGGCGAAAGCCUGAACCCCAGCAACGCCGCGUGAGUGCAGAAGGCCUUCGGGUUGUAAAGCUCUGUUAUAGGGGACGAAGGAAGUGACGGUACCCUAUAAGGAAGCUCCGGCUAACUACGUGCCAGCAGCUGC
rnacentral:rRNA from 1 species